rnacentral:rRNA from 1 species
AACGAACGCUGGCGGCAUGCCUAACAUAUGCAAGUCGAACGAGACCUUCGGGUCUAGUGGCGCACGGGUGCGUAACGCGUGGGAACCUGCCCUUAGGUUCGGAAUAACUCCCCGAAAGGGGUGCUAAUACCGGAUAAUGUCUUCGGACCAAAGAUUUAUCGCCUUUGGAUGGGCCCGCGUUGGUUUAGCUAGUUGGUAGGGUAAAAGCCUACCACGGCGACGAUCCAUAGCUGGUCUGAGAGGAUGAUCAGCCACACUGGGACUGAGACACGGCCCAGACUCCUACGGGAGGCAGCAGUGGGGAAUAUUGGACAAGGGGCGAAAGCCUGAUCCAGCAAUGCCGCGUGAGUGAUGAAGGCCUUAGUGUUGUAAAGCUCUUUUACCCGGGAUGAUAAUGACAGUACCGGGAGAAUAAGCUCCGGCUAACUCCGUG